rnacentral:rRNA from 1 species
ACCCCAAACGUUACUCCGGAUUAAUUGGCGCGUAAAGAGCGGGUAGGAGACCCAACGCUACUUUAGUUAAAUUCUGCCGCUAACGGCGAAACCGCUAAAGAGAUGGUCGGGUAUAGAGGCGUUAGAGGCAGAUGGAACGCACGGUGUAGGGUGAAAUCCGUUGAUAUCGUGCGGAACACCAAAGGCGAAGGCAUUCUGCUGGGACGUUCCUGACUCUGAGCCGCGAAAGCGUGGGUAGCAAAAAGGAUUAGAUACCCUUGUAGUCCACGCCCUAAACGAUGUCCGCUAGCUGUUUCGAGUGUCGACCCUCGGAGCGGCGAACKAACGCGUUAAGCGA